GCGGGGGUGCCCGAGCUAGGUCAAAGGGGGCGGUCCCUAUGAGGGCCCACACUCAAGAUCCGCUGGCGUCGGCCUACCCGGGUUCAAAUCCCGGCCCCCGCA
rnacentral:tRNA from 1 species